CGGGGUGGAGUAAUGUCUGGGAAACUGCCUGAUGGAGGGGGGUAACUGCUGGAAACGGUAGCUAAUACCGCAUAACGUCGCAAGACCGAAGAGGGGGACCUUCGGGCCUCUUGCCAUCGGAUGUGCCCAGAUGGGAUUAGCUAGUAGGUGGGGUAACGGCUCACCUAGGCGACGAUCCCUAGCUGGUCUGAGAGGAUGGCCAGCCACACUGGAACUGAGACACGGUCCAG
rnacentral:rRNA from 1 species